GCUCUGUGAUGAGAAAUAGCCAAAUCUGAGCACCAAAAAGGCCAGCAGGUCUCUAUAUGUGGUGCAUGAUCUAGAACACUGUUCUGGGA